ACGGGAGGCAGCAGUGAGGAAUAUUGGUCAAUGGGCGCAAGCCUGAACCAGCCAUGCCGCGUGAAGGAAUAAGGCCCUAUGGGUCGUAAACUUCUUUUGACGGGGAGCAAUAAGGCGUACGUGUACGCCGAUGAGAGUACUCGUCGAAUAAGCAUCGGCUAACUCCGUGCCAGCAGCCGCGGUAAUACGGAGGAUGCAAGCGUUAUCCGGAUUUAUUGGGUUUAAAGGGAGCGUAGGCCGUGCCUUAAGCGUGUUGUGAAAUGUAGGCGCCCAACGUCUGCACUGCAGCGCGAACUGGAGCACUUGAGUACGCAGGAAGUAGGCGGAAUUCGUCGUGUAGCGGUGAAAUGCUUAGAUAUGACGAAGAACUCCGAUUGGGAAGCCAGCUUACUGUAGCGCCACUGACGCUGAUGCUCGAAAGCGUGGGUAUCGAACAGGAUUAGAUACCCUGGUA
rnacentral:rRNA from 1 species